rnacentral:rRNA from 1 species
UACGUAGGGGGCAAGCGUUGUCCGGAAUCAUUGGGCGUAAAGAGCGUGUAGGCGGCCCGAUAAGUCUGCUGUGAAAUCCCCGGGCUCAACCUGGGAAUGGCAGUGGAUACUGGACAGCUAGAGUGUGUCAGAGGAUGGUGGAAUUCCCGGUGUAGCGGUGAAAUGCGUAGAGAUCGGGAGGAACAUCAGUGGCGAAGGCGGCCAUCUGGGACAACACUGACGCUGAGGCACGAAAGCGUGGGGAGCAAACAGG